GGAAUAUUGGACAAUGGGGGCAACCCUGAUCCAGCAAUGCAGCGUGUGUGAAGAAGGCCUGCGGGUUGUAAAGCACUUUCAGUAGAGAAGAAAAGCCUAAGGCUAAUAACCUUGAGUAUUGACGUAACCAACAGAAGAAGCACCGGCUAACUCCGUGCCCGCAGACGCGGUAAUACGGAGGGUGCAAGCGUUAACCGGAAUUCCUGGGCGUAAAGCGCGCGUAGGUGGUUUUGUAAGUCGGAUGUGAAAGCCCUGGGCUCAACCUGGGAAUUGCAUUCGAUACUGCUUAACUAGAGUAUGGUAGAGGGAAGUGGAAUUUCCGGUGUAGCGGUGAAAUGCGUAGAUAUCGGAAGGAACACCAGUGGCGAAGGCGACUUCCUGGGCCAAUACUGACACUGAGGUGCGAAAGCGUGGGUAGCAAAC
rnacentral:rRNA from 1 species